CUCCUCCCGUCUCGGUCCUCCACCUGCCCAGCUCCAUGCAACCGUAUGCCUUCUCUCCCACCUGACUCCGUGCGGGCCGUACUGCGCUGUUCAGGCCUAAUCUGGGCCGCAUCCCCGCUAUCAGAACUCCUCUCCCGCCUGUCAGACCUGCCCAGCCCCUCUCUGGCCAUGGAAGCGCUGCAAUUUAUCCCUGCCUGACUGCCUGAACCAGCCGCUGCCCGCGUUACCUUAUCCCUAACCGUGACUGUGGACUCUACUGCAGCUGCCCGUACCGGAUACCUCUCUGCCGUCUGGACCCUGCGCGGCCCGUUCCCUUCCAUGCCCCUGGGCACCCCCGUCCUGCCCCACACUCCCAUCAGAUACAAGGUCCGUGAGGGCCGACUCACCGCGCAAAGCAGGUGCGUCUUCAGCGAUGGUUGCAGGCCUGGCAGCACAUUGCCGGAUCCAGCCCUUUUCCGCACCCGACUUUUUCCGCCAGCCG